UACGGGGGGGGCAAGCGUUGUUCGGAAUUACUGGGCGUAAAGGGCGCGUAGGCGGUCUGUUAAGUCGGAUGUGAAAACUCUGGGCUCAACCCAGAGCCUGCAUCCGAAACUGGCAGGCUAGAGUUCUGGAGGGGUAGCGGAAUUCCUGGUGUAGCGGUGAAAUGCGUAGAUAUCAGGAGGAACACCGGUGGCGAAGGCGGGUCUCUGGGCAGUAACUGACGCUGAGGAGCGAAAGCGUGGGGAGCAAACAGG
rnacentral:rRNA from 1 species